rnacentral:rRNA from 1 species
UACAGAGGGUGCGAGCGUUAAUCGGAAUUACUGGGCGUAAAGCGUGCGUAGACGGCUAUCUAAGUCGGGUGUGAAAGCCCCGGGCUCAACCUGGGAAUUGCAUUCGAGACUGAAUAGCUAGGGUACGGUAGAGGGAAGUGGAAUUUCCGGUGUAGCGGUGAAAUGCGUAGAUAUCGGAAGGAACAUCAGUGGCGAAAGCGACUUCCUGGACC